UACGGGGGGGGGCAAGCGUUGUUCGGAAUUACUGGGCGUAAAGGGCUCGUAGGCGGCCAACUAAGUCCGACGUGAAAUCCCCAGGCUCAACCUGGGAACUGCGUCUGAUACUGGAUGGCUUGAAUCCGGGAGAGGGAUGCAGAAUUCCAGGUGUAGCGGUGAAAUGCGUAGAUAUCUGGAGGAACACCAAUGGCGAAGGCAGCUCGCUGGAACGGUACUGACGCUGAGGCGCGAAAGCGUGGGGAGCAAACAGG
rnacentral:rRNA from 1 species